AAUCUAUAUGCAUCUCCGUUCAAAUGUAAAAGCUGCUGGUUAGACAUGACACAAUCAUCAGAUGUGAAUAAUGGUUCAAUAUGUCCUUUAUUGUGAGCCCCACUUACAUAACAUCAGCAUCUACAGAAUCACUUGCAUGUUUGACAAUAAUAUGCGAUGGUGCAGUAAAAGCUCGUUCUGUUCAGGACGAAAGCAUGACAGAUAAUGGCGACAUAACCAAAAUGACUUGAAUCGAUGAGUAAUGACUAUUCGAGCAUUGAAGUGGAAGAGGUCUUUCACAGUCUUGAUUUGAGCUCAGCAGCAACAGCGUCAAUGAACUCUUCAGUGUUCAGGUAAUCGCUUCUUGUAACUCUGAAAACGUUAGAGCACAAUGAGAUAUCAGAUUAUCAAUUAUGAAUUCAGGGUAAUAAUAGAGAAAAAUACAGUAGAGGGAAAGCUGAGCAGCAUAACAUACUUUGAGGAUCCAUGGACAAGGAGUGCAAGGUCCUUGGUCAUCUUCCCAGACUCCACAGUUCCGACGCACGCUUCCUCAAGUUUCUGUGCAAAUUCAAGAAGUCUAGCAUUCUCGUCUAGCUUUGCCCUGCAGUGUGGACAUGGGAGAAUCAGCUAAAAAGCAAAGUCCACUAGAGUAAUAAUUAUAGGCACCAAUGUACUUGUCUUAAUUACUAUUUUGGUCACACCGGAAAAAGGUAUGCUGAACAAAGAGGAAAUUACCCUCUAUACAUGGUUAUCACAAAGGGUUGCACACUUGCACCGGUAGAGAUAUAGAAGUACUAGGUGUACCUGUGUGCAAGUCCUCUUGUCCAAGCAAAGAUUGAAGCAAUGCUGUUUGUGCUGGUUUCACCACCUUUCUGGUGAACACGGAAAUGGCGGGUAACUGUGCCAUGGGCAGCUUCAGCUUCGAUGGUUUUACCAUCAGGGCACAUCUAUAAAUAUCAAAAGGAAUUAGCACAACCUAACAAAUAUUCUCAAUAUAUAUGUAGAAGUACUGACAUGGAUAUGACCAAAGUAAAGGCAUUUCACACUAGAGAUAACACCCAAGAUUUAGUCAAGAUUCAAGAACAUUAGUAAGGAGAAAAUACAUACCAAUACUGACGUCAUCAAGCCCAAAGAGCCAAAACCUGCACAUACACUUCAGCAUUGGUUAUUGAGCACGGGACAAAAGAUAAAUUUUCUGAAUAUUUUAUGCAGAGACUCAAAAGUUACAGUGUUGUGACCUUGAGCUAAGAAAUCACUCUGCACAUCUCCGUCAUAGUUCUUGCAAGCCCAAACAUAGCCUCCUUCGCUCUUAAGUGCAUAGGCAACCAUGUCAUCAAUGAGACGAUGUUCAUACCUACCAAAAGCAACUCAUGACAUACUUUGACAAAAGAUUCCAAAAGAGCUCAAAGCAAGAAUGAUUCAAAACGUACCAUAUUCCAGCAGCCUCAUAUUUGGAUUUCCAGCCAGCUUCAUAGAUCUCCUGGAAAAUGUCCUUGAACCUACACAAUAAAAGUAUAUUUAGCCUGAUCUAAUUGUUUCGGAACAGGCCUUAACUAAUACUCCCUCCGUUCCUAAAUAGCAGUCUUUUUAGACAUUCCAAUAGAGACUACAUACAGGGCAAAAUGAGUGAUUCUACACUCUAAGCUAUGUCUAUAUACAUCCGUAUGUAGUCCCUAUUAGAAUCUCUAGAAAGACUUAUAUUUAGGAACGGAGGGAGUAUUUAAGUGUAGCUAUGAACUAUACCUGCCAUCAUAUUUCUUAAGGAUUGUGUUUUUUGUGCUAAGGUACAAUGGCCAUUUCUUCUCAUAAGCGAUUGCCAUAGAAGCUUCAGCAAAACCUCGAAUUGACUGUACACAAUAAUUAAUUAAUUAGAUGUCAGGAUUUUACUCCAAAAUGCAAAUAUUGUUUGUAAUUGCAGAAAUUGCAGAAACCAAUCCAGGCAUAGCAGUACCUCAUCUGUGUUGUACAUAGCCAUGGCGACUCCUCCAGCACCAGUG
rnacentral:lncRNA from 1 species